rnacentral:rRNA from 1 species
AGCCUAGUGAAGUUAUAGUAGGUAGUUCCUGCCCGUUGCAAUGUAGUGAAAGGCCGCAGUACCUUGACUGUGCUAAGGUAGCGAAAUCAGUAGACUUUUAAAUGGAGCCCAGAAUGAAAGGAAGCACGGAAGCUUACUGUUUCUUUUUAUAUACUAACUUUUUUAAAAGGUGAAAACACCUUUAAGACAGAUGAAAGACGAGAAGACCCUGGGACCUUUGAGUAAAACCUUUUUGUUGGGGCAACAUUAAAGAAUUCCUUUAUAAAGUUGUAUCUUGUCAAAUCAAGAAUGGAUAAGGUACCCCAGGGAUAACAGCAUAAUUAAGUUUUAGUUUAUGACCUCGAUGUUGGACUAGGAAUUCUAUGGCUAGACGCCUAAAAAAUAUUGUUCUGUUCGAACUUACUUUCCUACAU